AAACCGUUUAGGGGUAAACCUGAGAAACCCGAAAGGUCGAAGGGAGAAAUUCAUUCGCGUUUCGCCGUUGGCGUGAGACGGUCGUGUGACGGAAAACGUUCGCGUUUUCCGCACCUUUCGUUUUUCGAUCCGAUAGCGAACGCGUGCACUUUUCUCCUGGUAGGACGUCGCGAUCCGUUGGGUGUCGGUCUACGGCUCGCGGUGGAGCCCGGAUGUACGGCUUGCCGUUACGUUCGGACCCGUGUGUCCCGGCUGACUCGCUCGACGGUAUACGAAAGGUUUAAGGCCGCUCUUUGAGCGUUCGGCUCGUCGCAAGCGCGUCAGAUGUGUCGGUGAUCGGACCUAGUGCCGGUUCUGACCUCUGGCGACUGUUGGCGGCGAAGUUCUCGAACAGACCUUUGACCGAUCUGCGACGCUAUAGCUUUGGGUACUUUCAGGACCCGUCUUGAAACACGGACCAAGGAGUCUAGCAUGUGCGCAAGUCAUUGGGAAUCACUAAACCUAAAGGCGCAAUGAAAGUAAAGGUCCGCCUUGCGCGGACUGAGGGAAGACGAGCGGUUUACCCUUAAAAGUGGCCGCUCCGCAUUCCCGGGGCGUCUCAUUCUCAUCGCGAGAAGAGGCGCACCAAGAGCGUACACGCUGGGACCCGAAAGAUGGUGAACUAUGCCUGGUCAGGACGAAGUCAGGGGAAACCCUGAUGGAGGUCCGUAGCGAUUCUGACGUGCAAAUCGAUCGUCGGAACUGG
rnacentral:rRNA from 1 species